CUGUUUCAUGAACAUCCAAAACCGAGCUUGGCCAUGCCUUCGCCCGUUGGAAGCAUCACGAGGGAGUAAUGAAGAGAUAAGCGAAACUGUUUCCGGGAGCUUCCCGAGAGCGAAAAGGGGCAGGGGGGUAUCACGUUUGGUUCAAAUGGCUCACACUUCAAGGC
rnacentral:lncRNA from 1 species